UGUCUCAGUUCGGAUUGGAGUCUGCAACCCGACUCCAUGAAGCUGGAUUCGCUAGUAAUCGCGCAUCAGCCACGGCGCGGUGAAUACGUUCCCGGGCCUUGUACACACCGCCCGUCAAGCCAUGGAAGCCGGGGGUGCCUGAAGUGCGCUGCCGCAAGGAGCGCCCUAGGGUAAAACCGGUGACUGGGGCUAAGUCGUAACAAGGUACC
rnacentral:rRNA from 1 species